rnacentral:rRNA from 1 species
UACAGAGGUCUCAAGCGUUGUUCGGAUUUACUGGGCGUAAAGGGCGCGUAGGCGGCCACCGCAGGUCGACUGUGAAAUCUGCGGGCUUAACCCGGAACGGUCAGCCGAUACUGCGGGGCUAGAGUGCAGAAGGGGCAACUGGAAUUCUCGGUGUAGCGGUGAAAUGCGUAGAUAUCGAGAGGAACACCUGCGGCGAAGGCGGGUUGCUGGGCUGACACUGACGCUGAUGCGCGAAAGCUAGGGGAGCGAACGGG